rnacentral:rRNA from 1 species
CAAUAGCGUAUAUUAAAGUUGUUGCAGUUAAAAAGCUCGUAGUUGGAUUUCUGGGAGGGUGCCAAUGUCCGUCAACGUGCGUGUGCAGCGGCGCCCUUCCAUCCUUCUGUUAACGCCUCUGGGCAUUUACUUGCCAGUGGCGGGCUCAGAUAUUUUACCUUGAGAAAAUUAGAGUGUUUCAGGCAGGCUAGGCCGGAAUACAUUAGCAUGGAAUAAUAGAAUAGGACUAUGGUCUCUUUGUUGGUUUGAGGGACUAUGGUAAUGAUUAAUAGGGAUAGUUGGGGGCAUUAGUAUUUAAUUGUCAGAGGUGGAAUUCUCAGAUUUGUUAAAGACUAACUUAUGCGAAAGCAUUUGCCAAGGAUGUUUUCAUUAA